UACGGAGGGGGUUAGCGUUGUUCGGAAUGACUGGGCGUAAAGCGCGCGUAGGCGGAUCGUCAAGUCGGGGGUGAAAUCCCGGGGCUCAACCCCGGAAUGGCCUUCGAGACUGCCGGUCUUGAGUUCGAGAGAGGUGAGUGGAAUUCCGAGUGUAGAGGUGAAAUUCGUAGAUAUUCGGAGGAACACCAGUGGCGAAGGCGGCUCACUGGCUCGACACUGACGCUGAGGUGCGAAAGCGUGGGGAGCAAACAGGAUUAGAAACCCCCGUA
rnacentral:rRNA from 1 species